rnacentral:rRNA from 1 species
GACGAACGCUGGCGGCGUGCUUAACACAUGCAAGUCGAACGGAAAGGCCCUGCUUUUGUGGGGGGCUCGAGUGGCGAACGGGUGAGUAACACGUGAGUAACCUGCCCUUGACUUUGGGAUAACUUCAGGAAACUGGGGCUAAUACCGGCUAGGAGCUCCUGCUGCAUGGUGGGGGUUGGAAAGUUUCGGCGGUUGGGGAUGGACUCGCGGCUUAUCAGCUUGUUGGUGGGGUAGUGGCUUACCAAGGCUUUGACGGGUAGCCGGCCUGAGAGGAUGACCGGCGGCACGGGGAGUGAGACAGGGCCCAGAGGCCUAGGGGAGGCGGCAGUGGGGAAUGUGGGGCAAUGGGGGGGAGCCUGAUCCAGAAGGGCGGCGUGUGUGAUGAAGGCCUGCGGGUUGGAAAGCACGGUUGGCGGGAUGGAAAAGGACUGUGCCAAUACCAAGGUUCGAUGACGGUACCCGGAGAAAAAGCACCGGCUAACUACGUG